rnacentral:rRNA from 1 species
AACGUAGGAGACAAACGUUAUCCGGAGUUACUGGGCGUAAAGGGCGUGUAGGUGGUUUCGUAAGUCUGGCGUGAAAUUUUUCGGCUUAACCGGGAAAGGUCGUCGGAUACUGCGGAGCUAGAGGACGGUAGAGGCGUGUGGAAUUCCGGGUGUAGUGGUGAAAUGCGUAGAGAUCCGGAGGAACACCAGUGGCGAAGGCGGCUCACUGGCCCGGUACUGACGCUGAGGUGCGAAAGCGUGGGGAGCAAACAGG